AGCAGCCGCGGUAAUUCCAGCUCCAAUAGCGUAUAUUAAAGCUGUUGCAGUUAAAAAGCUCGUAGUUGAACUUCAGGCCUGUCCAGAUGGUCCGCCUUAAUUGGUGUGUACUGUCCUUGGGUGGGUCCUACCUUCUGGCGAAGCGGCAUGGCCUUAGUUGGUUGUGUCGGGGAACCAGGACUUUUACUGUGAAAAAUUAGAGUGUUCAAAGCAGGCAUAUAUGCUCGAAUACAUUAGCAUGGAGUAAUGGAAUAGGACGAUGGUUCUAUUUUGUUGGUUCUAGGACCGUUGUAAUGAUUAAUAGGGAUAGUUGGGGGCAUUAGUAUUCAAUUGUCAGAGGUGAAAUUCUUGGAUUUAUUGAAGACUAACUACUGCGAAAGCACUUGCCAAGGAUGCUUUCAUUAAUCAAGAACGAAAGUUAGGGGAUCGAAGACGAUCAGAUACCGUCGUAGUCUUAACCAUAAACUAUGCCGACUAGGGAUCGGAUGAUGUUAAUUUUUAAUGACUCAUUC
rnacentral:misc_RNA from 1 species